rnacentral:tRNA from 1 species
GACUUGGUAGUCUAUUUGGUAAAGGCAUCUUAUAGUAUAGUCUCUUGGCUUCUAGCUAAGGUCACUGGUUUAAAUCCUGCCCAAGUUG